GACAGAGGUCCCGAGCGUUAGGCGGAAUCACUGGGCGUAAAGGGUGCGUAGGCGGGUCUUUAAGUCAGGGGUGAAAUCCUGGAGCUCAACUCCAGAACUGCCUUUGAUACUGAAGAUCUUGAGUUCGGGAGAGGUGAGUGGAACUGCGAGUGUAGAGGUGAAAUUCGUAGAUAUUCGCAAGAACACCAGUGGCGAAGGCGGCCCACUGGCCCGAUACUGACGCUGAGGCACGAAAGCUAGGGGAGCGAAUGGG
rnacentral:rRNA from 1 species